CUAUCCUUACUACUGACAGUAAUGACUGCUCCUCAGUAAUACUUGACCUUGGACACCCAUAUUCUCAGUUUUUCAUUACUGCUAAUGCCUUUCAUCUUAAUGAACAUCAAACAUGUACAAUCUGACUUAACCCCUGACAAUGCAGAUGUACUGUUUGUGUUUUGCAAUGAAGGUGGUCAUGGUGGUCACUUUGAGAUACAUUUUGAAGAUGUGCAUGUGCCUUUAUCUUACGUAAGUACAGUGUACAGUUUUUUUAGGUAAGUAUUUUCAAGAACAUCUGUUGCCUUUGCCUCUGUGUUAUUUGAUAUAUAAACAAAACGUUAAGGAUAGCAAUAUAAUAAAAUAAAUAUUUUGAAAGAGGCGAACCACUGACUCAUUGAACUAACAUAAACAUUGUGAUUGUAAGACCUAAGUGGAGUACCACAUGUUUUUCCUGCAUGUCUUGAAUUUAGAUAUUCUACGAGUUUUUAAUGUUUCUGAGAGGUAUAUCACAUAUAAUACAUGUAAAUUGUUAAUAUUUUUUUAAUAUAACACAUGUAAAUUGUCCCAAAGAACUAAAAUUUUGCAAAAAGAGAUUCCCAACCAAUCAGAAUAGCAGCCAAAUAUAAUCUCAAGUUCAUUUUAACCUUCGAUGACUACAGAGCUUUUUAGUUUCAUACAUUACCUUUUAUUUGGCAGAAAGUUAUUGAACAAAAGUUAAAAUCAAAUUGGCAGGAUGGUGUAAAAAUCAUCACCUUUACAUGAAGGGUCAAGGAUGAAAAAGUAAGGCCACAAUGCCCAGGGGAUCGUGUACCCUAUUUAGGAGGAAUCCUCUGGGGACCAACCCCUUGGCCAUUCUCCCUCUGUGAAGACUGCUGAAAUUGCAUCACCAUUGCAUUUCUUAGAUUUAAUGAAUUGUGUGAUCUUAACCUAUGAAUUUAACUUGUGGGUAAAAAUAAAAAGAAAUAUCCUCUGAUGUACAAAGCCAUUUUAAUCCAGGAGGGUCAAACACAAGGACAGUUUUAUCAGAGUUUAACACUUUUCAAGUGCUGCAUUCCAGUGACAAACAGGUUUCAAUUCAUAGCCAAGCUUAAAUGUUAUAAAAGAAACCACAAAGGAGUAUCCUUUUUCAUUUGCUGAUACAACUGUUUCCUUCGGUGACAGAAGAGGAUUUGACUGCACAAGGUCGACUUGGACCAGGCCAACUUCACCACUGUAUGAGAACAAUAGGGCUGGCUGAGCGAGCUCUGGAAAUAUUGUACCAGCGUGCGGCCUUUAGAGAGACCUUCGGAAGGAAACUCUACCAGCAUAUUGCAAUGAUCAAGGUGGCAGCUGCUGGAAUGGCCUGUAAGGUGGUCGACAACGCAAUUCAAGUUCAUGGAGGAGGUGGAGUGUCUCAAAAUUUCCCUGUUGCACAGAUACAGCUAACAUGUUUCCGGAGCUGUCGCCUUGGGCCAGCACAAACCCGGAACAACACUCCACCACUGUCACGAAAUAAACUGUAUCACCCACCACGAGCACUACUGCACGCACCCAGGACUGGUGACCGUGUUUGUAUCAUUGUGGGGCGGAUAUUAUUGUUUAUUAUUUGGGACUGCAAUCCUGUUGUUAUUUAUCCUGUGCAGUACACAUUGGUGUGUAUUGCCGGGGGAUUAUUGUUUGGUCGCCAGACUUGGAAAACAAAAUAAAACUCCUUUCCAA